GGGCUGUUAGCUCAGGGGUAGAGCGCCCGCUUCGCAUGCGGGAGGUCGUGGGUUCAAUUCCCACAUAGUCCA
rfam:Aspergillus wentii DTO 134E9 unplaced genomic scaffold ASPWEscaffold_9, whole genome shotgun sequence.